GACGAACGCUGGCGGCGUGCUUAACACAUGCAAGUCGAGCGGUAAGGCCCUUUCGGGGGUACACGAGCGGCGAACGGGUGAGUAACACGUGGGUGACCUGCCCUCAGCUCUGGGAUAAGCCUGGGAAACCGGGUCUAAUACCGGAUAUGACUCCAUGACGCAUGUUGUGGGGUGGAAAGCCUUGUGCGGCUGAGGAUGGGCCCGCGGCCUAUCAGCUUGUUGGUGGGGUGAUGGCCUACCAAGGCGACGACGGGUAGCCGGCCUGAGAGGGCGACCGGCCACACUGGGACUGAGACACGGCCCAGACUCCUACGGGAGGCAGCAGUGGGGAAUCUUGCGCAAUGCGCGAAAGCGUGACGCAGCAACGCCGC
rnacentral:rRNA from 1 species